rnacentral:tRNA from 1 species
GCCUGGGUGGCUCAGUCGGUUGAGCGUCUGACUUUGGCUCAGGUCAUGAUCUCGCGGUCCGUGAGUUCGAGCCCUGCGUCAGGCU